CCUACGGGCGGCAGCAGUGAGGAAUAUUGGUCAAUGGGCGGAAGCCUGAACCAGCCAAGUAGCGUGCGGGAUGAAGGCCCUACGGGUUGUAAACCGCUUUUGCACGGGGAUAACACCCUCCACUUGUGGAGGUCUGCAGGUACCGUGCGAAUAAGGGCCGGCUAAUUCCGUGCCAGCAGCCGCGGUAAUACGGAAGGCCCGAGCGUUAUCCGGAUUCAUUGGGUUUAAAGGGACCGUAGGCGGGCGUUAAAGUCAGCUGUAAAAUCGUGGGGCUCAACCGCGCCCCGCAGUUGAAACGGGACGCCUUGAGUACACAACAGGCAGGCGGAAUUCGUGGUGUAGCGGUGAAAUGCAUAGAUAUCACGAGGAACCCCGAUUGCGAAGGCAGCCUGCCGGGGUGCGACUGACGCUGAGGCUCGAAGGUGCGGGUAUCAAACAGGAUUAGAUACCCCAGUAGUC
rnacentral:rRNA from 1 species